rnacentral:lncRNA from 1 species
CCUCUCUUCCUUUCCAUCCUUUCCAUGGCUUCGUGCACCCUCGCCGGCCUUCGGGAUUGUCGAAAAAAUCAUGAAAAGGGUGAAUUCUGUUUUGCUCUAUUUUGAUCGGACCCUUUCCUCUCUUUUUCGACCACCGGCACCGUCGGUUGCGGCGUCUCAUCCCUAGGAUAGGAUCCUCAUCUCUUUAUCUCUCUUUCCUGAAGG